AUUAGAUACCCUAUUAUUUUUAAUGUAAAUUUAAAAUACUAAAUUAGUAUUAGUUAUGUUCUUGAAAAUUAAAAAAUUUGGCGGUAUUUUAGUCUUUUCAGAGGAACCUGCCCUGUAAUUGAUAGUCCACGAUUAGGUGUACUUUAUUUAUUAGUUUACAUAUCGUCGUAGUUUGAAUAUUUUAAUAGAAAUUUAAUAUUCAAGAUUUUUUAUUAAAAAAUAGAUCAGAUCAAGGUGUAGUUUAUAAUAAAGUAGAGGUGGGUUACAAUAAAUUUAUUUUAGGAAAAUUUUUAUUAUAAAAAUUUGAAUUUGGAUUUGAGAGUAAUUUUAUAUAUUUAUUUAAAAUGAUUAUAGCUCUAAAAUAUGUACAC
rnacentral:rRNA from 1 species